UACGGAGGGUGCAACCGUUGCUCGGAAUCAUUGGGCGUAAAGCGCACGUAGGCGGCUCGUUAAGUCGGAUGUGAAAGCCCUGGGCUCAACCCAGGAAGUGCAUACGAAACUGGCGAGCUUGAGUAUGGAAGAGGGUCGCGGAAUUCCCGGUGUAGAGGUGAAAUUCGUAGAUAUCGGGAGGAACACCAGUGGCGAAGGCGGCGACCUGGGCCAAUACUGACGCUGAGGUGCGAAAGCGUGGGGAGCAAACAGG
rnacentral:rRNA from 1 species